rnacentral:rRNA from 1 species
GGAUUAGAUACCCUGGUAGUCCACACCGUAAACGAUGAAUGCUAGUUGUCUGCAUGCAUGCAUGUAGGUGACGCAGUUAACACAUUAAGCAUUCCGCCUGGGGAGUACGGCCGCAAGGUUAAAACUCAAAGAAAUUGACGGGGGCCCGCACAAGCGGUGGAGCAUGUGGUUUAAUUCGAAGCAACGCGCAGAACCUUACCCACGUUUGACAUGCCCUGUUUGGUUAGUGGAGACACUUUCCUUGGUUCGUCCGCAGGUGCACAGGUGCUGCAUGGCUGUCGUCAGCUCGUGCCG